GACGAACGCUGGCGGCGUGCUUAACACAUGCAAGUCGUACGGUAAGGCCCUUUCGGGGGUACACGAGUGGCGAACGGGUGAGUAACACGUGAGUAACCUGCCCACAACUUUGGGAUAACGCUAGGAAACUGGUGCUAAUACUGGAUAUGUGCUCCUGCUGCAUGGUGGGGGUUGGAAAGCUCCGGCGGUUGUGGAUGGACUCGCGGCCUAUCAGCUUGUUGGUGGGGUAGUGGCCUACCAAGGCGGCGACGGGUAGCCGGCCUGAGAGGGUGACCGGCCACAGUGGGACUGAGAUACGGCCCAGACUCCUACGGGAGGCAGCAGGGGGGAAUAUUGCACAAUGGGCGCAAGCCUGAUGCAGCAACGCCGCGGGCGGGAUAACGGCCUUCGGGUUGUAAACCGCUUUCAGCAGGGACGAAGCUUUUUGUGACGGUACCUGCAGAAGAAGCACCGGCUAACUACGUG
rnacentral:rRNA from 1 species